AUUGAACGCUGGCGGCAGGCCUAACACAUGCAAGUCGAGCGAGCGGCGGACGGGUGAGUAAUGUCUGGGAAACUGCCUGAUGGAGGGGGAUAACUACUGGAAACGGUAGCUAAUACCGCAUACCAUCAGAUGUGCCCAGAUGGGAUUAGCUAGUGGGUGGGGUACUGGCUCACCUAGGCGACGAUCCCUAGCCGGUCUGAGAGGAUGACCAGACACACUGGAACGGAAAAACGACCCAGACUCCUACGGGAGGCGGCAAUGGGGAAUAUAGCACAAUGGGCACAAGCCUGAGGGAGCCAUGACGAGUGUGUGGAGAAGGCCUUCGGGUUAGAAAGAACUUUCAGAGGGGAGACGUUAAACUAAGAAGAAGCACCGGCUAACUCCGUGCCAGCAGCCGCGGUAAUAC
rnacentral:rRNA from 1 species